rnacentral:rRNA from 45 species
UUGACCUCGGAUCAGGUAGGAAUACCCGCUGAACUUAAGCAUAUCAAUAAGCG